GAGUUUGAUCAUGGCUCAGGAUGAACGCUGGCGGCGUGCUUAACACAUGCAAGUCGAACGAAGCACCUCUUCCGAAGAAACGGAGUACUUGUACAAAGUGGAUUCAACUGAGGUGACUGAGUGGCGGACGGGUGAGUAACGCGUGGGUAACCUACCUUAUACCGGGGGAUAACAGUUAGAAAUGACUGCUAAUACCGCAUAAGCGCACGGUGUCGCAUGACACAGUGUGAAAAACUCCGGUGGUAUAAGAUGGACCCGCGUCUGAUUAGAUAGUUGGUGAGGUAACGGCCCACCAAGUCAACGAUCAGUAGCCGGCCUGAGAGGGUGAACGGCCACAUUGGGACUGAGACACGGCCCAAACUCCUACGGGAGGCAGCAGUGGGGAAUAUUGGACAAUGGGGGAAACCCUGAUCCAGCGACGCCGCGUGAGUGAAGAAGUAUUUCGGUAUGUAAAGCUCUAUCAGCAGGGAAGAAAAUGACGGUACCUGACUAAGAAGCCCCGGCUAACUACGUGCCAGCAGCCGCGGUAC
rnacentral:rRNA from 1 species